AAACAACUUCGUUAAGAUAUGUUUGAUAUUCUUGGUUGUUGCAUUGUUUAUGUUGACCUCACAUAAUGUUGUGGUUACGCUUUGAUUUUCACCCAGGAAUCAAACAUAUUAUUAAUGCGGCUUGUU
rnacentral:pre_miRNA from 1 species